CUGUGAGGCAGUUCUUACCUUUCUUACCCAGGUUCUGGCAAUCAAACUGAGGUCAUUAGACUUAUGAAGCUUUAGCCACUGAGCCAGUUCUCUGCCCCUGGCCACAACAAAUUUUAUAUCUGCAGAUUCCAUUUUCAAAUGAAUCGUUGUGGUGAUAGUUCCGUGGGAAGUGACCAACUUCUGGAUGAACAGGAGCUAGCCUGAGCGUGACCAGAAAAAUGUGCUAUGGUGAGAAACAGUCCAGCAGACUUCGCAUGCCGAGUCUCAGAGGUUUUAUAUCUGUCUAGUCAGAAGGGGCUCCUAGUCUGUCAACCUUUUGGUAAUAUCUGGUGAUUUAUGACAGAACUGUUUGGCAAAGUACAUGGAUGGAGGCAGAAGAAAACCCACAUCAUGUUAAAGAUAAAAUUGAACACAAACAAGGCUGGAUAACCAAUGAGCUCCAGAGACCUGCUGUCUUCAUCUUCCCAGUUUAUGGUGACUUUACCAAUGGUCCGCUUUUUGUGGGGAUGAUGGCGAUCUGAACUCAGGUCCUCAUGCUCUGGUAGCAAGCACGUAACAACGGAACCAUCUCCCAGCCCCUGCCACUUUUCUUGAGAUGGUUUCAUAUGGCCUAGGAUGUAGGUGAGGAUGACUGUAAACUUCUGAUUAUUCUGCUUCUACCUCCAGAGUGCUAGG